AUUGAACGCUGGCGGCAUGCCUUACACAUGCAAGUCGAACGGUAACAGGUCUUCGGAUGCUGACGUGUGGCGAACGGGUGAGUAAUACAUCGGAACGUGCCUAGUAGUGGGGGAUAACUACUCGAAAGAGUGGCUAAUACCGCAUGAGAUCUACGGAUGAAAGCAGGGGAUCGCAAGACCUUGCGCUACUAGAGCGGCCGAUGGCAGAUUAGGUAGUUGGUGGGAUAAAAGCUGACCAAGCCGACGAUCUGUAGCUGGUCUGAGAGGACGAUCAGCCACACUGGGACUGAGACACGGCCCAGACUCCUACGGGAGGCAGCAGUGGGGAAUUUUGGACAGCGGGCGCAAGCCUGAUCCAGCAAUGCCGCGUGCAGGAUGAAGGCCUUCGGGUUGUAAACUGCUUUUGUACGGAACGAAAAGCCCUGGGUUAAUACCCUGGGGUCAUGAUGGUACCGUAAGAAUAAGCACCGGCUAACUACGUGCCAGCAGCCGCAGUAA
rnacentral:rRNA from 1 species